rnacentral:rRNA from 1 species
GAUGAACGCUAGCUACAGGCUUAACACAUGCAAGUCGAGGGGUCUUUUGGAGCUUGCUUUAAAAGACGUCCGGCGCACGGGUGAGUAACGCGUAUCCAACCUGCCCUUCAUAUUGGGAUAGCCUUCCGAAAGGAAGAUUAAUACCGAAUAACAUGAUAGAGUUGCCUGAUUUUAUCAUGAAAGCUCCGGCGAUGAAGGAUGGGGAUGCGUUCCAUUAGGUAGUAGGCGGGGUAACGGCCCACCUAGCCGACGAUGGAGAGGGGUUCUGAGAGGAAGGUCCCCAACACUGGAACUGAGACACGGUCCAGACUCCUACGGGAGGCAGUAGUGAGGAAUAUUGGUCAAUGGGCGCAAGCCUGAACCAGCCAAGUAGCGUGAAGGAGGACUGCCCUAUGGGUUGUAAACUUCUUUUAUACGGGAACAAACCCUGGUACGUGUACCAGACUGCGUGUACCGUAUGAAUAAGCAUCGGCUAACUCCGUGCCAGCCGCCGCCGUAAUAC